UACGUAGGGUGCGAGCGUUAAUCGGAAUUACUGGGCGUAAAGCGUGCGCAGGCGGUUAUGCAAGACAGAUGUGAAAUCCCCGGGCUCAACCUGGGAACUGCAUUUGUGACUGCAUGGCUGGAGUGCGGCAGAGGGGGAUGGAAUUCCGCGUGUAGCAGUGAAAUGCGUAGAUAUGGGGAGGAACACCGGUGGCGAAGGCGGCCAUCUGGACGGAUACUGACGCUGAGACGCGAAAGCGUGGGGAGCAAACAGG
rnacentral:rRNA from 1 species